rnacentral:snoRNA from 1 species
AGCACCAGUGAUAAUAGUGUGUUAUGAACCAAGGAUUGUGAUUAAUCCAGUUCAGUGCGCCUGAGAUU